GUACUUGCUUCAGCAGCACAUAUAUUAAAAUUGGAAUAAUAAAGAUCAGCAUGUCCCCUGUGCAACAAUGACAUGCAAAUUCAUGAGGUGUUUCACAUUUUU
ensembl:snRNA U6 U6 spliceosomal RNA